CUUUGAUUAACUGCUCAUGUGGAUCUUGUCUCUUUUGUUUGCCUUGCAGAUUAUGUUCCUCAUACAUCUGAAGUUUCAGGGGGGAAAUGAUUAUUUUUCUAUAAUGGAUCCCGGAAAGGAGCGCUGAGUUCCAGGGACUAGAUUAUCUCUCAUUUGAUCUUGGACUGAUGUCAGAUCUUUUCUCAACAGCUGGAAGAUAUAUAUAUGUGGUCGUUACAGCUCAGAGCUCUCUCUCUUUAAGAUAAGACUUUGAAUUCUUGAGCUAUGUGUUUUGACUGGACUCAGGAGUAUUUCAAGAACUGCUAAUAUUGAGCUCUACUGUGAUUUCUUGAAACAAAAACUUUCCUCAGAGUCUAUCUCCUUUGUGUGUAUAAAUCCAGAAUGCAGUGUGUUCAUAUAUUUGGUACACUAGUUCUGGGAAUUACAGAAUCAAAAAAUGGAGAUAAUGAAUCAUCUGGCUGAAGUCCACAGUGCAGCCAAUAUGGCUCAAACACAUAUUCUCAAAUCCUGUUUUUGUUUAACUAACACUAAUCCAAAGUGUGUAUUAAAAACAAUUACAAGGACUCUCUACUAAUGUACCAUAUUACACUAAAUGUUAACAUCUUGUUGAAGCUACUGCUCAUUCAGAUCUUCUGCACACCCAAUGCAGUAUGGCUUUUUUCAAAAGUGGGAAUAAGUAAUUAUCAUAUUGCUCAAUGCAAAUGCAAGCAUUAUUAUUAAAGGCCAAAUAAUACUUACUAAGCAGAACUUGGCUAUAACAAAUGCCUCUAAAGUACAUGUUAGCACAUAAGGUCUCUGCUAGGGAGAAAAUUUUUAUUUUUCAUAUUUUGAAAAUAAAAUGAGUUACCGUCCAUUUAUAUAUGGAUCUUUGUUUUAAGGUUUCCUUCACUAUGAUCUUGAUCCUACAAUUGGAUUCACCUGUGGGGACUCCGUCGGGGUAU